rnacentral:rRNA from 1 species
UACGGAGGGUGCAAGCGUUAUCCGGAUUCACUGGGUUUAAAGGGUGCGUAGGUGGGCAGGUAAGUCAGUGGUGAAAUCUCCGGGCUUAACUCGGAAACUGCCAUUGAUACUAUCUGUCUUGAAUACCGUGGAGGUUAGCGGAAUAUGUCAUGUAGCGGUGAAAUGCUUAGAUAUGACAUAGAACACCAAUUGCGAAAGGCAGCUCGCUGGUACGUAACUGACGCUGAGACGCGAAAGCGUGGGGGAGCAAACAGG